rnacentral:rRNA from 1 species
UACGAAGGGGGCGAGCGUUGUUCGGAAUUACUGGGCGUAAAGGGCGCGUAGGCGGCCGAUCAAGUCAGAUGUGAAAGUCCUGGGCUUAACCUGGGGACUGCAUUUGAUACUGAUUGGCUUGAAUGCAGGAGAGGAUAGCGGAAUUCCCAGUGUAGAGGUGAAAUUCGUAGAUAUUGGGAAGAACACCGGUGGCGAAGGCGACUUACUGGACACAUAUUGACGCUGAGGUGCGAAAGCGUGGGGAGCAAACAGG